UACGGAGGGUGCAAACGUUGCUCGGAAUCAUUGGGCGUAAAGAGCGUGUAGGCGGCUCGGUAAGUCCGCUGUGAAAGUCCAGGGCUCAACCCUGGAAUGCCAGUGGAAACUGUCGAGCUAGAGUCCGGAAGAGGCGAGUGGAAUUCCUGGUGUAGCGGUGAAAUGCGCAGAUAUCAGGAGGAACACCAAUGGCGAAGGCAGCUCGCUGGGACGGUACUGACGCUGAGACGCGAAAGCGUGGGGAGCAAACAGG
rnacentral:rRNA from 1 species